AGUGAACGCUGGCGGUAGGCCUAACACAUGCAAGUCGAACGGCAGCACAGUAAGAGCUUGCUCUUACGGGUGGCGAGUGGCGGACGGGUGAGGAAUACAUCGGAAUCUACUUUUUCGUGGGGGAUAACGUAGGGAAACUUACGCUAAUACCGCAUACGACCUACGGGUGAAAGCAGGGGAUCUUCGGACCUUGCGCGAUUGAAUGAGCCGAUGUCGGAUUAGCUAGUUGGCGGGGUAAAGGCCCACCAAGGCGACGAUCCGUAGCUGGUCUGAGAGGAUGAUCACCCACACUGGAACUUAGACACGGUCCAGACUCCUACGGGAGGCACCAGUGGGGAAUAUUGGACAAAGGGCGCAAGCCUGAUCCAGCCAUACCGCGUGGGUUAAGAAGGCCUUCGGGUUGUAAAGCCCUUUUGUUGGGAAAGAAAAGCAGCAGGUUAAUACCCCGCUGUUCUGACGGUACCCAAAGAAUAAGCACCGGCUAACUUCGUG
rnacentral:rRNA from 1 species